GGUGGCACAGUGGUUAAGCGCUCAGCUGCCAACUGAAAGGUCAGAGGUUUGAACCCUCUCC
rnacentral:tRNA from 1 species